GCCCUGGACCUUGAGGACAUCUCCUCGAAAAAGGCUGGGGUCUACUGGCAGGUCUCAGAGGAGCAGGAAACGUCCUGCAAGAGCAAGGGGAAAAAUUCAAUGGAAUGUCAAAACUACAUCAAGACACUUGAGACUCUCG